rnacentral:rRNA from 1 species
UACAGAGGGUGCAAGCGUUAAUCGGAAUUACUGGGCGUAAAGCGUGCGUAGUCGGCUUUUUAAGUCGGGUGUGAAAUCCCCGGGCUCAACCCCGGAAUUGCCUUUAAGACUGCAUCGCUAGAAUCCAGGAGAGGUGAGUGGAAUUCCGAGUGUAGAGGUGAAAUGCGCAGAUAUCGGGAGGAACACCAAUGGCGAAGGCAGCUCGCUGGGACGGUACUGACGCUGAGACGCGAAAGCGUGGGGAGCAAACAGG